rnacentral:lncRNA from 1 species
GUGUUCUACAAAUUGAUACUACUAAAGUUGCAAAGGGUCCCUUCUGCUGAGGAUCCUAUUAAGUGUCCUGUUGAAAAGCUUAUUGAUGGGGUCCAAUUUGUUGGUAAACAUGACGGAGAGGUGACUGAUUUAUCAAUGUGCCAAUGGAUGACCACCCGGCUGGGUUCUGCUUCUAUGGAUGGAACUAUAAAGAUCUGGGAAGAUCGCAAGUAACAACCACUUUUAGUACUGAGACCCUAUGAUGACCUUCCUGUUUAUUCAUCUAAACUUGUGACGGCUCCCAACAUGCUUGAUCACAUCAUGCUUAUAACAGUGGGCCCACUUAAUCGGGAAGUGAAGAUUUGGUCCUCAGCGAGUGAAGAAGGCUGGCUGCUUCCCAGUGAUGCUGAGUCAUGGAAAUCUACCUAGACCUUAAGAGUUAAAGAGCUUUGCUCAACCUCGAGUUGAGGAUGCAUUCUUUAAUCAAGUCAUAGCAUUGUCACAAGCUGGCCUUCUUUUACUUGCAAAUGCUAAGAAGAAUGCUAUAUAUGCCAUGCACUUAGACUUAGGUGGUGGGCCAGCAUCUACACGUAUGGAUUACAUCGCAAAAUUUACUGUUACAAUGCCUAUUUUGAGCUUUACUGGGACAAGUAUAUCACCUCAUGGUGAACAAAUUUAUUGUGUCC